CUUAGACUUGAGAGAAAGAGGCUCUCAACUUCCUCAAGUGAAGAAGAAAAGAGAGAGAGUCACGACAGCCAUGGAAGCUUUAUUAAGCAUGGUCAGCCUUCUUUUUAUUUUCACCAUUAAAUCCCUAAGGUAAUUCAACCCUUUAAAAGGUCCAUAGCAACAUGGGAUUGAUCCUAGAGGCAACAAGAUUGAAUUAAUUGAAGACGUCAAGUUUCAACCAACUGAAGGAUCCAACUUGUUAAGGUUGAGAUACUAUUGGGCAGCAUACGUGCUGUGUGGUAAAUAAGCGCUAAAGGUACAGGCGCACGCUUUAGGGAUCCGCCAGCUUAGAAUUCCACUCAAAAAUUUGGAAGAAGCUCCAUUGAAUUGGAGCUGAGUUUUGGUACUAAACCUUCUAUGUAUAUAUAUUUAUGUGAUUACGGGUACGGCGGGGGCCUUGUCCCGCCUUAUGUUACUGUUCUUACUCUUAGAGGUCGGUGGAUUUGUACGUGGGUUAUGUAUACAUGUA